GGCUGCUGGAUCCGAUCACCACCUGGACAGUGCCCUGUUAACAGAUCUGCGUUAACCAACAAAUACAGAUCUGUAUUAACCAAAGAGCUGCUUGGUUUGCAGAUGACAGUUCCAAGAUGGAUGAAUGGCAUCCUGUCUGGAAGGCCACCACACUAAGACUGGCAGAUUGAAAGGCUCUGUUUGAAGAAGAAAUUGCCAACAAGAUCUGGUCUGGUCUGUGUGCCAA
rnacentral:lncRNA from 1 species